rnacentral:rRNA from 1 species
AGCCCUUGUUCUAAAGAUUUGUUC